rnacentral:snRNA from 1 species
UCGUAUUACAGCUCUUUUACUAUUUGUCUAGCCGGUUCUUUCUUAGAGCCAGU